UUGGAGGGCAAGUCUGGUGCCAGCAGCCGCGGUAAUUCCAGCUCCAAUAGCGUAUAUUAAAGUUGUUGCAGUUAAAAAGCUCGUAGUUGAAUUUCGGGGUUAGUAGGUUGGUCAUGCCUCUGGUAUGUACUGGUCUCACUGAUUCCUCCUUCCUUAUGAACCGUAAUGCCAUUAAUUUGGUGUUGCGGGGAAUUUGGACUGUUACUUUGAAAAAAUUAGAGUGUUUAAAGCAGGC
rnacentral:rRNA from 1 species